UCCAGAGCUAUAUUCUGCAACAAUCUCUUUUGACACAUUCAUUCUUUGAAAAUGCUCAAAUUCUUAGUUCCUUUUAUUUUCUAUUUUUCCUCUUCAUAGUCCAACUUUUUACUACUACAUACCAGUUUGUGCUUUCACUUUCCUGAGUGUUUCAGAGUGUUACAAACUCUCUUUCCUCCUCAACUCAACUCCUCACCAACCUUUAUUUCAUUUCACACUUCCCCAUUCACCACAACCACUGUGCACACUAAUAAUAGACCUGGGUCCUGCUACGACAUUAAACCAACACACAACAGAGACAGACUUGGGUUUCCUUCAUUGUUGGUUUUGCUAGUGUAUUAUGCACUGCAAUUUUUUUGGCCACUUUUGGGAAAAAAAAGUUAGUUAGGGGGAAAAAAGUUAGAAACUCCUAUUGUGGAGGGCAGUAGUGAGGCCUUUUUCUUUUUUCUUUUUUUUUUUUAAUGGGUGUGUCUGUCCCUGGGGCUCAUAGCUCAAAAUAAGUAAACUCCUGGGAUGACUGUGCUGGGUAAUUUGCAAGAUAAGCCUUUUAUGUUGGGAUUUUGUCUGGACAAAGUGGACAGGCUGGAGAGCUGAACACACAGGCAAACCACUCAGCGAGCCUCUUGCAUCACACUCGGGCAUAACUGAUAUGUUAAUCACCAAUGUUCAAACACAGUCGCCAGAUAUGAUGCCAGAAAUAACUUCUGACUCUGUUAUUUCUGUUGACCUACCACAUUUCUUCACUUUGGCCUCUUGUUUCUGACCCUCACUCACUUUUGGUUUUGAAAUCAGUUUCAGAAACGCGUUCCUCCCGCAGCUCUGUCCAUGAGUGCAGCACCCCCGGCAGCGCCACCGGAUUUCCCUGGGGAGCCGCUGGGCCCGGCUGGCACGGGCGCUGUGGGCACAGACUGAGUCACCGCCCCAGGCAGCUUUCGGUAUCAGGAACUGAUGUAUUCCGUUUAUGGUGGAACUGACAGUAAAAUGCAUCAGUGCAGGAACCUGAGCUAUGUCUUGAGUCAGCAUCAUAACCACCAGGCACCUGAGAGGAGAGACAGUGGUGUCUCUGUCCUAGAAUUCCCACCCAGGUGUUGAAAUGGUGAUUGGAAGCUAGACUGCAUCCUGAAGAAGGGCUCUAACCACCUACCAACAGUCUCCCAAAGCACCAGGGUUUGAAAGGACUUGAGAAAAUUAUCUGGUUCUGCCUUCUCCCUUUACACAGCCAAGCAAUGUGAAGCUGUUACUCAUAGAUGUUAUUCUAGUCUGUUAUUAAAAGCAUUCACUUUUGGAGAGUCCACAUCUUUGGGGAUUUCUGUUUAAAGCUUUAAAAAUGUUUAAACUAGAAUUAGUAUUGUUCUUUAUAAUUUGGUGGUCUUUUAAGUUUUUUUGGAAGCAAGAGCCAAUAUUCCCACCUGCUAGAUGGGAAAUUUAAUUACAGAUAACUCUGGGCUGAUUAUGAUGAUGCAGAAAACUCCAUCUUCCCAUAAACCAGCUAUUCUACACAAUGGAUGUACACUUUAAUUCUAUCUUGAUGAACACAGCAACAGUCUAAAAACGUUGGCAUUUUCUCUUUAAUUAACCUCUAAUGUAGCAAUUUAUCUCAAAAACAAUAGUGCAUUGUUUCCUGUGCAUACCCUACACGAGGUUCUCUCCACACAUGGCACCUGUUUUUCAAAGUUAGUCAAAUGGUUUCUUGCUUGCUUACUGUGAUUCAUUAUAAAAUCUUGAAACAGGUUUAUCACAGAACAAGAAAGAAUUAGCAAAAAACUAGAAGGGAUUCCGAGUUUAAACAAAAAAUAAAGGAUCAGAAAGGGCUGCA
ensembl:lncRNA